GACGAACGCUGGCGGCGUGCUUAACACAUGCAAGUCGAACGGAAAGGCCCUGCUCUUGUGGGGUGCUCGAGUGGCGAACGGGUGAGUAACACGCGAGUAACCUGCCCUUGACUUUGGGAUAACUUCAGGAAACUGGGGCUAAUACCGGAUAGGAGCUCCUGCAGCACGGUGGGGGUUGGAAAGUUUCGGCGGUUGGGGAUGGACUCGCGGCUUAUCAGCUUGUUGGUGGGGUAGUGGCGUACCAAGGCUUUGACGGGUAGCCGGCCUGGGAGGGUGACCGGCGACAUGGGGACUGAGGUACGGCCCAGACGCCUACGGGAGGCAGCAGUGGGGAGUAUUGCAGAAUGGGCGGAAGCGUGAUGCGGCAACGCCGCGUGCGGGAUGACGGCCUUCGGGUUGUAAACCGCUUUCGCCGGUGACGAAGCGGGAGUGACGGUAAUGGGUAAAGAAGCACCGGCUAACUACGUG
rnacentral:rRNA from 1 species